rnacentral:misc_RNA from 2 species
AGCAUCAACCCCGUCGGGAGACCGACCCGGUUGGAUUUGGGCGUCUGCCGUCCUGCGGCUCGCCUUAAAAGCAUUAGUGGUCCGGCCUCCGACUCUGGCGAAUUAAGUUCCGCCUCACGAGGAGUGUCGUCCGCUCACAACCCGCCCCCGGGCACUUCUUUCG